CCUCAAUACACGGCUCACCGUUGUCUAGCAGCGGCUGGAAAUCCGGUGCCGCGGUUGCAGUGGCUGAGAAGCGCUCGAAGGCCAGUGGGUCUCGGGGCAAGUAGAGAUGAGACGCGGUCUCGUGCAGGUUAAGAUGCAUUAAAGCUUUACUGCAGAAGGAUCCGAGUGUUCUGUGUCAUUCUUGCUGGCGAGACGAUCGCGCGGGACAUCUGGUGCCGAAACCCAGGAACUUGUUGACAUCGCCGGCGCCGCGGGAGACCCCUCGGAGGACGGGGCGGAUUCAGAACUGCAGGGAGGCCUCUUUGACCCUGAACACAUGAGAUAUGACAUCUACUCAGGACCCUACUCAGGACCCUUCCAUGGUAGAGGUAAUAGAAGUGGCUGUGCCCAUGCUGAGCAGGAACCCUUAAGAUUCCUAUCUCUUGGUGGAAGGUGGGUGGUUGUGACCAGGAGAAAAGAGGAGAGACAGAGUCCAAGACAGGCUCAUGCAUCACUGGUUUCCUGCAUCGGGCUACAUCCAUCAAGCAUGGCCACCAUGUUUCUAUACCUUAUUGUGCACUUGCUAAGGUGGUCAUGUUUGAGUUUGCUCACCAGUGAGCAGGACACAAUGAUCUUUGUCACUGCUGAACACUCUUACAUCUUCUCUUUUGGUGCCUAUACACUUAGGGGACCUCCAUCUUUGGUAGGUGUGGGUGUGGUGGGUGUGGCAGAUAUUGCUGCCUUAUAGGAAUCUGGUGCCAGGCAAACAGGGAAGGCAUGCAGACACCAUUCUGCAAACAAAUCAUCCUCUCUUCCUGCAGGGCUGGUUCUCUUCAAGGCUUGGAAUGGCAAAUCCUUUACCUCAAUCCUAUAUAACAAUAGUCCACGCUACAGGCCCUGUAAUGGUGUUCAGGCUGAUGUCAUUAAGGAAGACAGCAUGAAGAUCAGUAGGAUUGUCAACAUGGGAUAGGGACUGAGAAUGCUCAUGGAAGUGGCAGUCUCCUCCUCUAAACACCCCUUCUUUGCAGGAGAUCCCACAUACCAUCAGCAGAUGGCUGUGCCAUUGGGCAGAUAGAUCAAGUGUGGCAAGCACCUGCAUGUGCACCUGUGGAGAGAAUUCUCCCUAGAGCCCUAUCCCAACUGUGCCCUGGCACCCCCUCCCUGCCAGAGCAUUUCGCUUCCUCCUCAGUCCACUGGUCUGCACCUGGCAAAAAUUUCCCCUCCAGUUCUUGAGAUAGGGUCUUGCCUAGUCUAGAUUUCAGUCCACCAUCUUCUUACCUCAGCUUCACAAAUUCUGGAAUUAUAGGUGCUUCCCGCUGUGUCUGGUUGGCAUAAAGAUGUAGAAUAUUUCUCACCUUCCUGGGCCCUCCACUAUUCUGGGGACAAGCCAACUGUACACAAUAUCUGUCAGUAGUACUUGUUCACCUAAAGCUGCUGGAAGGGUGGUCUCUGGGUAGGGAUGGAGGUGAGCACACUAACACAAGUGAUUUGGUGGCAAAAUACUAAAUUGUUUAGCUUGGUUUUUACCUUCUACUGGAUUUAACUGAAACAACUUUUGUCUAAUUUAUUUAUAUCUGACAGGUAAAGGUACACUGAUUCUCAAAUUCCUUUACAGAUUUUAGAGUAUGACAUUUAACAACAAAAAAGUGUUUUAUGACAGACAGACAUGCCAGAUUCUGACUGCACCCUGUAUCUCCUCCAAAAAAAAUGGAUGGCUGCAGAAAAACUUCCACCUGGAGGCCUGCUUUGGAUGUGACAAAGCCAGUCACAUAGCCUUUCACCUCUACUGCCUAGUCCCCGCCUGGAUUGGACAACAGGAUGCUGAGGGAACUGAUCGUCUCAUCCAGCCAAGACAGUAUAUCUUUCAGGUUCACUCAUCCUGCCUUGGUCAAGGCCAGGCCAUAGAGGGUCCUCCAGAUAAUGCCAGCACCUUCAUUAGCUCCUGAGACUUCACCAUUUGUACCACCUCUACAAGCUCAAAUGGGCACCUACCCAACAACUGAAAUCUGGUUUUAAAGGUCAUACCCCCCUCAUGUCUCCCUUGCCUCUUCUGUACAACCAGGAUACUUCUCCAUUCCAUUCACUCUGGCAGUUGUCACCUCUCCCAUGGCUAGCCCCAUACAUAGGGCCAAUGAUAACAAUCUACUUUUUUCUCCUUGGAACCUGCCUUCUCAGCUCCCUCAAGAAACAGACGCCUGAGGUCUACAGGCUGGCAGUUAACUGAAAACUUCUCCACCCAUACCUCCUGCUGAAUGUGAGCUCACCUACUUCAGACUUUCUCCCUCCCCACAUGGUCCCUUGUCAGCAGGAAGAAGCCAGAUUUAAACCGACGCCCCUAUACCCAAGGAGUCUGGGAUGUUUAGGUGGAAGCCAUACUGGCUUUACAAAGAGGUUGGAAUGGUUGGUAGCCCUGUCCCAAACCCGCCCUCAAAGUGCCAAGGGUGGUGUCCACUCCCUCACUUCAGUCCAGACUCCACCCCUAAAAUCCUAACCCAUCCUUCUAUUGGUGGCUCCACCCCCGGAGAGCAUUAAAAGCCCCCACCUCUGGAUUCACCUUGUGGUUUCUUGUUUUCUGUUCCCCUGGGGCCACCCAGGAAUUCUUUGCUCAGAUUAAACUUUGA